AUUGAACGCUGGCGGCAUGCUUUACACAUGCCAGUCGAACGGUAACAGGCCUUCGGGUGCUGACGAGUGGCGAACGGGUGCGUAAUGCAUCGGAACGUACCCAGAGGUGGGGGAUAACGCAGCGAAAGCUGUGCUAAUACCGCAUGUGAUCUGAGGAUGAAAGCGGGGGACCGCGCAGCAAUGUUUGGCCUCGCGCCUUUGGAGCGGCCGAUGUCGGAUUAGCUAGUUGGUGGGGUAAAGGCCUACCAAGGCGACGAUCCGUAGCUGGUCUGAGAGGACGACCAGCCACACUGGGACUGAGACACGGCCCAGACUCCUACGGGAGGCAGCAGUGGGGAAUUUUGGACAAUGGGCGCAAGCCUGAUCCAGCAAUGCCGCGUGCGGGAAGAAGGCCUUCGGGUUGUAAACCGCUUUUGGCAGGAACGAAACGGUGUCCGCUAAUACCGGGCGCUAAUGACGGUACCUGCAGAAUAAGCACCGGCUAACUACGUG
rnacentral:rRNA from 1 species